rnacentral:rRNA from 1 species
AGAACUUUCCAGAGAUGGAUUGGUGCCUUCGGGAACUCUGAGACAGGUGCUGCAUGGCUGUCGUCAGCUCGUGUUGUGAAAUGUUGGGUUAAGUCCCGCAACGAGCGCAACCCUUUAUCCUUUGUUGCCAGCGAUUCGGUCGGGAACUCAAAGGAGACUGCCAGUGAUAAACUGGAGGAAGGUGGGGAUGACGUCAAGUCAUCAUGGCCCUUACGAGUAGGGCUACACACGUGCUACAAUGGCGCAUACAAAGAGAAGCGACCUCGCGAGAGCAAGCGGACCUCAUAAAGUGCGUCGUAGUCCGGAUUGGAGUCUGCAACUCGACUCCAUGAAGUCGGAAUCGCUAGUAAUCGUAGAUCAGAAUGCUACGGUGAAUACGUUCCCGGGCCUUGUACACACCGCCCGUCACACCAUGGGAGUGGGUUGCAAAAGAAGUAGGUAGCUUAACCUUCGGGAGGGCGCUUACCACUUUGUGAUUCAUGACUGGGGUGAAGUCGUAACAAGGUAAGCGUAGUGCU